AGCGAACGCUGGCGGCAGGCCUAACACAUGCAAGUCGAACGAACCUUUCGGGGUUAGUGGCGGACGGGUGAGUAACACGUGGGAACGUGCCUUUAGGUUCGGAAUAACUCAGGGAAACUUGUGCUAAUACCGAAUGUGCCCUUCGGGGGAAAGAUUAAUCGCCUUUAGAGCGGCCCGCGUCUGAUUAGCUAGUUGGUUGAGGUAAUGGCUCACCAAGGCGACGAUCAGUAGCUGGUCUGAGAGGAUGAUCAGCCACAUUGGGACUGAGACACGGCCCAAACUCCUACGGGAGGCAGCAGUGGGGAAUCUUGCGCAAUGGGCGAAAGCCUGACGCAGCCAUGCCGCGUGAAUGAUGAAGGUCUUAGGAUUGUAAAAUUCUUUCACCGGGGACGAUAAUGGCGGUACCCGGAGAAGAAGCCCCGGCUAACUUCGUG
rnacentral:rRNA from 1 species